AGCCGACAAGGGCAGAAGUCGCCGAGCUAACCUUCGGGAAGCAGGCGCCCAAGCUGUUGUUGACGACUGGGGUGAAGUCGUAACAAGGUAGCCGUAGGAGAACCUGCGGCUGGAUCACCUCCUUU
rnacentral:rRNA from 1 species